rnacentral:ncRNA from 1 species
UUAAAUGCAUUGAAAAAGGAAAGUAAUAUAAAUAUAGGUUACAGAGAGGAAACGGUGGUGUGAAGUUUCUACUGAGGAUUUAUAUGAAGUGCCCUUUGGAGCAGAAGUCUGAAGAUUUAGUAAGGCUAUCCAGGUUCGCCUGUUACAGCGAUAAGGUAUUUUUGUACCUGAAUGAGGUGGGAUAUUUUAUAUCUAAUUAGGGUGGAACCGCGAAUGCAUACAUAGCUUCGUCUCUAUA